rnacentral:rRNA from 1 species
UAUUACCAGCAGCCGCGGUAAUACGGAGGAUGCGAGCGUUAUCCGGAUUUAUUGGGUUUAAAGGGUGCGUAGGUGGUGAUUUAAGUCAGCGGUGAAAGUUUGUGGCUCAACCAUAAAAUUGCCGUUGAAACUGGGUUACUUGAGUGUGUUUGAGGUAGGCGGAAUGCGUGGUGUAGCGGUGAAAUGCAUAGAUAUCACGCAGAACUCCGAUUGCGAAGGCAGCUUACUAAACCAUAACUGACACUGAAGCACGAAAGCGUGGGGAUCAAACAGG